GAUGAAGAACGCAGCGAAAUGCGAUACGUAAUGUGAAUUGCAGAAUUCAGUGAAUCAUCGAAUCUUUGAACGCAUAUUGCGCUCUCUGGUAUUCCGGAGAGCAUGCUUGUUUGAGUAUCAGUAAACACCUCAACUCCCCUUUCUUUUUUGAAAUUGGAGCUGGACUUGAGUGAUCCCAACGCUUUCUUCCAAGAAAGUGGCGGGUUGCUUGAAAUGCAGGUGCAGCUGAACUUUUCUCUGAGCUAUAAGCAUAUCUAUUUAGUCUGCCUAAAAAACAGAUUAUUACCUUUGCUGCAGCUAACAUAAAGGAGACUAGUUCUUGUGCUGACUGAUGCAGGAUUCACAGAGACAGCUUCGGCUGACUUUGUAAACUCGAUCUCAAAUCAAGUAAGACUACCCGCUGAACUUAAGCAUAUCAAUAAGCGGAGGA
rnacentral:misc_RNA from 1 species